rnacentral:rRNA from 1 species
UACAACAUAGCAUGAAUGCACUAGAUCCCAUUAGAAGUUUGUAGUUAAGCACACUCAAGAUAGAGUAGUACUAGGAUGGGUGACCUCCCGGGAAGUCCUAGUGUUUUAC